GCCUUCGUGGUGUAAUGGUCAGCACACUGAGCGGGUAUUCGAGAGGUCCGUGGUUCGAUUCCCGGCGAAGGCA
rfam:Stegodyphus mimosarum contig33198, whole genome shotgun sequence.